CCCAGGUACUGAGUAUAAUAUCCAAGAGUUAGCUUUUCAGCCCUUUCCCUCACUCUCCCUCCCCCUCUCAUAUUCCCCAGUUUCUAUUGUUGCCAUAUUUGUGUCCUGAGUACCCAGUGUUCAGCUCCCACUUAUAAGUGAGAACAUGCAGUAUUUGGUUUUAUGUUCCUGCAUUAGUUUGCUCAGGUGGCUUCCAGCUCCAACCACAUUCCUAUAAAAAACAUGACCUUGUUCUUUUAUUGGCUGCAUAGUAUUCCAUGGUAUAUAUGUACCAUGUUUUCUCUAU